AUUGAACGCUGGCGGCAGGCUUAACACAUGCAAGUCGAGCGGAGAUGAGGUGCUUGCACCUUAUCUUAGCGGCGGACGGGUGAGUAAUGCUUAGGAACCUGCCUAUUAGUGGGGGACAACAUUCCGAAAGGAAUGCUAAUACCGCAUACGUCCUACGAGAGAAAGCAGGGGAUCUUCGGACCUUGCGCUAAUAGAUGAGCCUAAGUCGGAUUAGCUAGUUGGUGGGGGAAAGGCCUACCAAGGCGACGAUCUGUAGCGGGUCUGAGAGGAUGAUCCGCCACACUGGGACUGGGACACGGCCCAAAAUCCUACGGGAGGCAGCAGUGGGGAAUAUUGGACAAUGGGGGGAACCCUGAUCCAGCCAUGCCGCGUGUGUGAAGAAGGCCUUAUGGUUGUAAAGCACUUUAAGCGAGGAGGAGGCUACUGAGACUAAUACUCUUGGAUAGUGGACGUUACUCGCAGAAUAAGCACCGGCUAACUCUGUGCCAGCCGCCGCCGUAACAC
rnacentral:rRNA from 1 species